AACGAACGCUGGCGGCGUGCCUAACACAUGCAAGUCGAACGAGAAAGGGGCUUCGGCCCUGAGUAAAGUGGCGCACGGGUGAGUAACACGUAGGUAACCUACCUCUAAGUUUAGGACAACCUGUCGAAAGAUGAGCUAAUACUGAAUGAGAUCACAGUUUCUUCGGAAGCAGAGGUCAAAGGUAGCCUCUAUUUAUAAGCUAUCACUUAGAGAUGGGCCUGCGUACCAUAGCUAGUUGGUGAGGUAACGGCUCACCAAGGCAAAGAUGGUUAGCUGGUCUGAGAGGAUGGAUCAGCCACACUGGAACUGAGACACGGUCCAGACUCCUACGGGAGG
rnacentral:rRNA from 1 species